rfam:Flavobacteriaceae bacterium MAR_2010_188 genome assembly, chromosome: I
GACCAAGAGGACAGAUUUGACUACUUGCAACCUCUUUCAAUUGGAUUGGAAUAUUUCAAUUUAAUUUGAAUAAAAAUGCUAAGGACAGAUAU